rnacentral:rRNA from 1 species
UACGUAGGGGGCGAGCGUUAUCCGGAUUCAUUGGGCGUAAAGCGCGCAUAGGCGGCCGCCUAAGCGGAACCUCUAACCCCGGGGCUCAACCUCGGGCCGGGUUCCGGACUGGGCGGCUCGAGUGCGGUAGAGGAGAGCGGAAUUCCCGGUGUAGCGGUGGAAUGCGCAGAUAUCGGGAAGAACACCGAUGGCGAAGGCAGCUCUCUGGGCCGUCACUGACGCUGAGGCGCGAAAGCUGGGGGAGCGAACAGG